UCAGGCCUAACACAUGCAAGUCGAACGCCCUCUUUAUGAGGGAGUGGCAGACGGGUGAGUAACGCGUGGGAAUCUACCCAGCUCUACGGAACAACACAGAGAAAUUUGUGCUAAUACCGUAUACGCCCUCCGGGGGAAAGAUUUAUCGGAGUUGGAUGAGCCCGCGUUUGAUUAGUUAGUUGGUGAGGUAAUGGCUCACCAAGGCGACGAUCAAUAGCUGGUCUGAGAGGAUGAUCAGCCACACUGGGACUGAGACACGGCCCAGACUCCUACGGGAGGCAGCAGUGGGGAAUAUUGGACAAUGGGCGCAAGCCUGAUCCAGCCAUGCCGCGUGUGUAAUGAAGGCCCUAGGGUUGUAAAGCACUUUCAACGGUGAAGAUAAUGACGGUAACCGUAGAAGAAGCUCCGGCUAACUUCGUGCCAGCAGCCGCGGUAAUACGAAGGGAGCUAGCGUUGUUCGGAAUUACUGGGCGUAAAGCGCACGUAGGCGGAUUAAUUAGUCAGGGGUGAAAUCCCGGGGCUCAACCCCGGAACUGCCUUUGAUACUGUUAGUCUAGAGUUCGAGAGAGGUGAGUGGAAUUCCGAGUGUAGAGGUGAAAUUCGUAGAUAUUCGGAGGAACACCAGUGGCGAAGGCGGCUCACUGGCUCGA
rnacentral:rRNA from 1 species